ensembl:lncRNA
CCAUGUUGCUAGUUCAGAGCUCUAGCUGCUUGCCUUGCGUCCCAAAGUGUUGCGAUGUCUAGAAAUGCCUGUUAAAUCCUUAUAUUUUAACUUCAUAUUUAUAAAAAUCGACCUGUAAACAUCGGGAGCUGCUAAAUGUUAAGUGAAAACAGAAUGCAGCAGGUUGGUUUGUAAAAAAACGCACGUUAAAAAUGGUUCAUGGUGAAUCUCCCUGUUUUUAAAUGGAUGUGAUUGACAGGUGGAUUAGCCAAUCACUGGACAGGAAAAAAUUCAUGAAAUAAAACUCUCACAGGCGGAUGGAAACACGUCAGAUUUCUGCAGAAUCAAUGAGACAAACACUGAACUAACUUGAUUUUAUUUGUAAAUCAUAGUUGACCAAUGAGGGGCUUCGUUUCACACGUGUCACUGAAAUAAGACGAUCUGAUUGGACGAUCACGUUUGACCGGGUUUGAGAUGCAAACUGUGUAAAACAUACAACGAAAUCUAUCUGGUAAAUCAUUUUUAUGCAGAAUAAACCCCAUGGAGACGCAGGGAGGGCAUCUGACACACACAGGGAGGGCAUCUGACACAAACAGGGAAGGUAUUUGACACACAGGGACAUUUCAGAACAUGUUUGUACAGAUUUGAAUGCCAGGAUUAGCAUCUUUUAUGCAGAAUAAACCCCAUGGAGACCCAGGGAGGGCAUCUGACACACAGGGCUAGUUCAGAACACAUUUUUUCCAGAUCUAAACUACAGAAUUAGCCGUUUUUUUAUGCAGAAUAAACUCCAUGGAGACGUAGGGAGGGCAUCUGACACACACAAACACUCCAGAACAUGUUUUUACACGUCUAAACUACAGGGUCAGCAGCUUUUACGCAGAAUAAAAACCAGAUAUUUUGUCAUUUGCGGUGAAAAUCAUGUCUUUUUUUGCUCAUUUUGUUCACUCAAAUUGCGAAUAACCUCACAAGAAACCAACCUUUGCAUUCUGUUCUUGCUUAACUUUUGGCGUCCACCAUUUUGAACCUUCAUCCGCCCCCUUCUUCUUCUUCUUCUUCUCCUCCUCAUCGUCCCAGUUUAAACCAAAGGAUGUCACAUGGUCCCACCCUCCCACUCCCUGUCAGCUCCCGCUCUCUAACCCCUUAUUAUAUUGCACUAAUCCAUUCCUUAAUUACAACGUACAACUUUUCUUUUUUUUUUCUUUUUAGUUCCACCUUCUAAUCUUACUAGCGGAGACUUGAGGCUAGCUUGUGCGCGCGUAGGAUUCAGUAUGGCUAUUGUGGCUGCUUUUCGUCAGUGCAAAAACUGUUUUAUAUUUCCGUUUUCACCCGUAGAGAUGUCGGCCAUGUUGAAUCCCCCUCGGAAUGUAUCACUUAGUCAUUCCACUUUGGACAUACUUUGAAAAUACGGUAGGAUUAUACGCUUUUAUGUACUGUACGAUGUUGAUGUGGCUAGGUUCAAAACGGCCUGGAUUUGUGGGGACACGUAGCAUCAUGUUAACUGUGUUUUUGGGGUGAAGUUUGGGGGUAAGAAGAUUAAUAUUUCAUUUUGUGUUUUACUGUUGCAUUCAUUUGUCAAAGCGUAAAGGUGAAUAGACUCCACGGUGGCGGCCAUCUUGGGACUGUACCAAAAAACUUGAGCCAAACAACUGCACAAUUUUAUAUUAAUUUAUUUAGUUGAUAACACUUUAUUUCUUCUACAGCACUUGGAAUAUUAUGAAUUACUCUAUAUUAACUUAUUAUUUUUGUUGUAUUAAUAUCAAAUGUGUAUCUUUGUUUUGGUUUAUGUUGGUGUAUUCCAGGCAACUUUCUUUUGAACUCCUAUGUAUAACCUCUAACCAGGAAGAUUAUUGUUGUUUUCUGGGGCUAAUUAAUUUAAUUUAAUAUUAUAUACGCCCAAAACUGACUAAAUCCAAAGUAAUUUUACUAUAUAAGAAAAUGUAAAUGAGCAGAUUAAUGGUUAAAAUCUGAAAAAAACAAAAAAAACAAAGUGAAACUCAUCAUGAAAUCAGCUUUUUUUGCUCCGUAUCUGUGUGAAUGAUGUUUGCAGCUUUGUGUGCGCUGCCCCCCGGUGGCCAUUGCAAUGUCAAGUACUAUGUGACAUCACACAGAACUGCCCUGAUGACAGUUAGGUGUCUCUGAUCACAAACACGUGGCUGCAGGGGGCGGAGUUUGAAGUGUGGAUGUUAAACCAAGCACGCUGUGGCUCAUAUGUCCAGACCCCGCCCCCUGCUCCCCUUUAGUCCUCUAGACCUCCUCCUCCCUCCUUCUCCCCUUUACUCCUCCAAGUACUGUCCAGUCCAUCCUUCCAUCCAUCCUUCCUUCCAUCCUUCUUUCCUUCUACCCAUCCAUCCAGUCUUCUAUCCAUCCUUCCUUCCAUCCAUCCUUUCUUCUAUCCUUCCUUCCACCCAUCCUUCCUUCCAUUAAUCCUUUUUUCCUUCCAUCCUUCCUUCUACCCUUCCUUCCUUCUAUCAUCCACUCAUCCAUCCAUCCUUUCUUCUAUUCUUCCUCCAUCCAUCCUUUCCUUCCAUCCAUCCUUCCUUCCUUCCUUCCUUCCAUCCUUCCUU